CUACGGGAGGCAGCAGUGGGGAAUAUUGCACAAUGGGCGCAAGCCUGAUGCAGCCAUGCCGCGUGUAUGAAGAAGGCCUUCGGGUUGUAAAGUACUUUCAGCGGGUAGGAAGGGAGUAAAGUUAAUACCUUUGCUCAUUGACUUUACCCGCAGAAGAAGCACCGGCUAACUCCGUGCCAGCAGCCGCGGUAAUACGGGGGGUGCAAGCGUUAAUCGGAAUUACUGGGCGUAAAGCGCACGCAGGCGGUUUGUUAAGUCAGAUGUGAAAUCCCCGGGCUCAACCUGGGAACUGCAUCUGAUACUGGCAAGCUUGAGUCUCGUAGAGGGGGGUAGAAUUCCAGGUGUAGCGGUGAAAUGCGUAGAGAUCUGGAGGAAUACCGGUGGCGAAGGCGGCCCCCUGGACGAAGACUGACGCUCAGGUGCGAAAGCGUGGGGAGCAAACAGGGUUAGAUACCCCCGUAGUC
rnacentral:rRNA from 1 species